UAGGGAAUCUUCCGCAAUGGACGAAAGUCUGACGGAGCAACGCCGCGUGAGCGAAGAAGGCCUUCGGGUCGUAAAGCUCUGUUGUUAGGGAAGAACAAGUACGAGAGUAACUGCUCGUACCUUGACGGUACCUAACCAGAAAGCCACGGCUAACUACGUGCCAGCAGCCGCGGUAAUACGUAGGUGGCAAGCGUUGUCCGGAAUUAUUGGGCGUAAAGCGCGCGCAGGCGGUCCUUUAAGUCUGAUGUGAAAGCCCACGGCUCAACCGUGGAGGGUCAUUGGAAACUGGGGGACUUGAGUGCAGAAGAGGAGAGUGGAAUUCCACGUGUAGCGGUGAAAUGCGUAGAGAUGUGGAGGAACACCAGUGGCGAAGGCGACUCUCUGGUCUGUAACUGACGCUGAGGCGCGAAAGCGUGGGGAGCAAACAGGAUUAGAUACCCUGGUAGUCCACGCCGUAAACGAUGAGUGCUAAGUGUUAGAGGGUUUCCGCCUUUAGUGCUG
rnacentral:rRNA from 1 species